rnacentral:rRNA from 1 species
CUAAGAAUCUUCCGCAAUGGGCGAAAGCCUGACGGAGCGACGCCGCGUAACGAAGAAGGCCGUGAGGUUGUAAAGUUCUUUUCGGGAGGGGGAAUGACCGUGGCAGGGAAUGGCCGCGGGAUGACGUGAAUCCCGGAACAAGCCCCGGCUAACUACGUGCCAGCAGCCGCGGUAACACGUAGGGGGCGAGCGUUGUUCGGAAUCAUUGGGCGUAAAGGGCGUGCAGGCGGCACUGCAAGUCCGGCGUGAAAGACCCCGGCCCAACCGGGGGGGUGCGCUGGAAACUGCGGUGCUUGAGUACAGGAGGGGAUGCCGGAAUUCCAGGUGUAGGGGUGAAAUCUGUAGAUAUCUGGAAGAACACCGAUGGCGAAGGCAGGCAUCUGGCCAUGUACUGACGCUGAGACGCGAAGGUGCGGGGAGCAAACA